ACUUGUGUGUAUUAGCACCCUGAAUCCCUAUGGCAGUGCUGCCGGCGGUUAAUAAAGGAGGACAUGAGAUAAUAAAAUGCACAAAAUUAAUCCAAAAGAAGAAAGAAAUGGGGAGAAAAAGAACAUAAAACAAGAGUGAACACAUCAAAAACAGAAAGCUAGAUGGAAGGUUUCAAUGGAAAGCCACACUGCUGGUACAUGAGGGAGCUGGGACUGAAACCCACGUAGUUGGUAUAUGCUUUCCAUCAUCACGAGGCACUUCCUUCACAAAAUGUUCAUAGCAAUAAAUGACACCUCACAAAGUUAUUU
rnacentral:lncRNA from 1 species